rnacentral:lncRNA from 1 species
GCCUGGCCAAGCCCGCUGCCCGGGCCUUAUUUGCCAGGGUUUCUCUGUGUAACCCUCGCUGUUCUGGAACUCCGUCCUGGAAUUCACCCGUGGCAAGCGAGAUGCUCCAAAGAGUCUGCACGGCCGUUCACUCAGUUUAUGGCAAAACAAUGGAGUCCUGACCGCAUGAAGGGUGCACGGCAGAAUCACCAGCGUGCCACGCAGGCUUGUACCCCCUAUCCUCAUGAUCUGGCGAUGUGGACAGUCACUUGAAGUCGCAUGAAGUCACGUGAGAUCACAUGUACAUGGAACAUGCAGCCGUGUCCCAGAGAGACAGCCAACACAACGGCCUUGAAAAGACUGUCUACAACGCAGAAAGACAUGAAUCCUGUCCACUGAGUCACCGUGUGCAUGUCACACGCCCUCUCUGACUCUUGGUCCUCUAAUGGGAGGGGCUGCCUCCAGAGCCUACAGAGAGAAAGGAUGUGGAGUCCUGCCUGGUCACACAGAGCGGGGCUGGCACCGAGUUCAUCUGCCUGGAGAGGAGUGAGCUCUCCGUAGCUGGGCCGCUGGGUCAGGAGGCUCCCAGGGAGCUGGGGACUCGGUGUCCUUCCUGAGGGCCUUGUGGGGGUUGGAGGCUGGCAUGUUCAAUGGCUACUUUUUGGCCCGUGUCCUCAGGUCACUUGGGGCGGUACCAGGCAGGCUGGCCUAUACCCAAGAGCUCGUCCCAGUCUGGCCUGUGACGCAGACUCUUGUGAGCAGUGGCCUCUUGUGGAAGGGAAGGUCCCCAGCCAGGUCUUCGGUGCUUUUAGUCCGAAUAAAGCUUGGGAAGGAAGGAGCCUUUUCUCACCAGCCAGGAGAGGCUCUUGGAAGGCCAGGGUGAGCAGGGACCCCAGGGUUAGGCGAUACAUUCCCAGCAGCUGAAAGGAGACCAGGCACAAGUGGGGAGACUCUGGCUGUCAAGGGCAGAGUCCUUUGGGAACUGUCAUGGGCUUUCUUCCUGAGUCCCUGGGAAACCAGAGCCACCGUAUGUCACAUGUAUGUCACAUGUAUCACUUCCGGCAGGGCCCCACUGACUCUUCAGUCUUCCUGGCUCCUCUUACCAAGCUUCAGCCACAGAGGACACACCCCUCCCCCUCCCCACUCUCCCUCUCGAUGCCCCUGCAUCCCAGAACUCCCUCAUUGCUGAGCCCUUGCCUGGAAUGCUGUUCCCUUUGGGAGCCGGGCUCUGUUCCCCACGCAUGCUUGCGG